UCUUAUCUAGUAUAUUUCCCUUCUCUGAAACUCAAAAAGAAAAAAAGAACAGUAAAAAUAUUCUCUGCCUUGAGGAAAUUCAACUUGUUGCUCUGUACAAUCUUAUGAUACUUUGAUAAUUCAUCAAUAAAGUUCUGUGAUUUCAUUUAUGUUCGUGUCUCUUAACUUGAAAUUGUAAUAGUGUCGGAGGAGUCCUGCUAGAGUAACUAGACGUUCCUUUCUCCAUUGUUCUUGUUUCAGGAGAAGUGUUCAAAUGUUCUUCUUAUCAGUAGAUAUUUUCUGUUUUAGAAAGUUUCACACAAAUGUGAAAAUGUUGUGCUAGUUGCAAAAUUUAAUAUGUAUGUUGUUGUCUUACCUUAGUAAAGUUUUGAAUUCUAUUGUUUAGAAUGUUUCUGCAAGUGGUGAAGAUGAAAAAAUAUUAGCAGGUGAUUAUAAAGGCUCUACCUUAUCAUUUAAACUAUAAUUUGUAGAUAUUGAAAGAGUGAUGUGAAAGAAUGAUGUGAGAAUGGACUUUGAAUUCCAUAUUGCAAUCGCUUUUACUUUCAUGAUCAGAUCAUAUCAUGUACGGUGUGCUUAGAACUCCUUUCAGCUAUAAAAUAGGGAACUGAUCUUUGUAAAGACGUAGUAUCAUCCUUUAAUUAGAGAAAAUGUUACUGACAAAAGAUACUAAAUUAACAAACUAAACAUUUACGAAGAAGUCAUAAUUAAAAUGGAAUUAGUUCUGGACAAAUUUGACAAUCAUAGUAUAUCCUUGUCUUUGGCCUACAGAGAGAUGCUUAAAAAUUGAUAAGCAUAUGUAUACUGAACAGUGGUCCAAAAGAAAAUACACACUGUAGAUCAAUGUGAAUAACUCAUUCAAUGAUUCUAUCGACUAUGGAUAAUCUGUGAUGUAGCACCAACCAUAAGAUGAUUUGAUGCCCAGGAAUCACUUCUUGAAAUAAAAUUAAAUUCGUCUGACAUAUUUUCUGAAACUGAGGCAGUAGUGGUUUGUACAUAAUUUUGAUCCUGAAUUUCUAAGAUGUAGUCGCACUAUCGCAAAUCAUAGCCCAAUCCACGCAGUCAUCCCACCCUGUUCUAGCUUAAAGAUUUUUCUAUAACUAGUCAAAUAAGAUAACUUUAAUAAAUUGCAACGUAUGUUGGCAAUAAGUUUACUUUCUACAAGACUAAGUUGACAUGCAACAAGUCAUAAGUAUGAACAGUAACCUGAAUAUGUUGAUAACUAUAACAAUACGUAUAUUUUCUUUUACUUUCUAUUUACAGUGGUAAAAGUACUGACCAGUAUCAAUAUAAUUAACAUAUUAUCAAUAGUUCCCUGUUAUAUUUGAUUUUGUUUUCGGUUUGCAGUGUUAAAAGUAUUCCUCGAUAUAAAUUUGAGCAUUUUAUUAGUAGCCCCCCUCUCAUUUAUCUUCAUCCUUCAUGUCUCUUUUUUCACAUAUUAAUACUCCCAUAAUAUAUUAAAUUAUGAUUUUCUUUUUGAGAAGUAACAUUAAUUUACUACUAUUAUUUGUAUAAUUAAUUUUUUAACUCUUAAUAGCUAAAGUUGAAGAAAAGUGUUCCUGAAGUUCACAACUGAAGCACACAGCUAGCCAAACAAAAGUGUCUGGAGGAGAAGAUAGAGUAGCAAAAAGAAAAGAAACUUAAGGAUUUGAAAUAUUGAAUUGCCAGCAUACCAAAGUUCAAGCGUUUACAGAAAAAAUAAAACUCAAAUCAAUUAGUAUCUGAUUCUCAAGGUGCGGAAUCAACACAUUCAUUUCUCCAAUCAGCAUCAUUUCCGCCAUCAGACACGACCACACCAUUUUUGGCCACAACACAUUCAGUCCCAUUAUUUCAGCCAGCAUUGUAGGCACCUCCAAUAUUUCAGCCUGGCUCACAGUCAUCUCAAUCAGUUGACUCGGCUUCACAUUCAGCUACGAUGGAUCAACUUAUGUCACAACUGGCUCCGACAACUUAUCCUACAUCACAACCAGCUCAUUUAGUUCAUUCGACAUCACAUUCACCUUUUACAGAACAAGACUCGUCAGAAAAACUUCCAACAGUUCAAGCUCCAUUCAAAAAGCAUAUUGGGCGCGAAUCACAUUCAUAUUGGACUGUAGAAGCAAUGGGUAAAUAAUUCUCAAAUUCUCCUUUAAGACAACAGAGUCAGAACGACAACAUAUUUACAAAUCUAUUGGAAAGAAGUGGGCUGCAAAUAAGAACAACUUGUGGAAGUUAGUCGAAGACCCACUUAAAAGCAAAGUUGAGAUUAUUGAUAAUUUUCUAGAUGGAAUUCCACGAGAUCAGUGGAUUUCUUUUGUUGAUUACCAAUAUAAAGAUUAAACAAAGGAAAUGCGUAGAAGAAAUACUGAAAUACGGAAAAAAAAUUCACACACAGGUGGCUCCAAAGCGAAUGCUACGAGAAGGGCGGAAAUGAUGGCUGAAACGGGACAAAGACCUUGACAAGCACAAAUAUAUAUUGCAACUCAUAAAAAUAAAGAUGGAGUAUAUGUUAAUGAAGCUGCAAAAGAAAUCUGUGAAAAAAUUGAGCUAACUUUGAGCCAAAGUACCAUGGAUGAGUCUCAAAUUUCGCCAAAUGAUGUUGAUGGUAAGGUUUUUAGGAAAAGAGAACUCUGGAAGGGUUAGAUGUUUGGGAUUAGGAGUUGUCCCCAGUAAAGUUUUUAAACAAGUAAGACCGUGUUUUGGUGGUGCAAGUGCUUCAAGUAGUGAACGCUCAUGUUCGUCCCAAUGCCAAGAGAACCACAAUCAAAUGAUGGAUGCUUUUAAGGCGUAUAUGAUAAUGAAAGAAGGGAUGAUACCAGAACAAUUUGCGGGGUUCUUUGCUUCUCCUUCGAUAAAUUCUUCUACAAUAACUUUAAUGCAGCCAAGUGAUGCUGCGAGUGAACCAAUUCUGCCUAUGCACACAAGAAGAUCAUGCGGUGGUGAUAGUAAUCCUAGCCAUGAAAACCGUUGAUUACAUUGUAGUAAACCAAUUCCACCUAUAUUAUUAGCUAAUUAAUUUGAUGACAAGAUUGUGUGAUUGGAGGGGAUGUUAAAAUGUUGGAUUAGAUAUUUUGUGUUCAGGUUUAGUUUUUC